rnacentral:rRNA from 1 species
GACGAACGCUGGCGGCGUGCUUAACACAUGCAAGUCGAACGGAAAGGCCCUGCUUUUGUGGGGUGCUCGAGUGGCGAACGGGUGAGUAACACGUGAGUAACCUGCCCUUGACUUUGGGAUAACUUCAGGAAACUGGGGCUCAUACCGGAUAGGAGCUCCUGCUGCAUGGUGGGGGUUGGAAAGUUUCGGCGGUUGGGGAUGGACUCGCGGCUUAUCAGCUUGUUGGUGGGGUAGUGGCUUACCAAGGCUUUGACGGGUAGCCGGCCUGAGAGGGUGACCGGCCACCUUGGGACUGAGAUACGGCCCAGACUCCUACGGGAGGCAGCAGUGGGGAAUAUUACACAAUGGGCGGAAGCCUGAUGCAGCAGCGCCGCGUGCGGGAUGACGGCCUUCGGGUUGUAAACCGCUUUCGCCUGUGACGAAGCGUGAGUGACGGUAAUGGGUAAAGAAGCACCGGCUAACUACGUG